AUAUCUGACCUUAAAAGAAGUUUUUGAGAGUUUGGACUAGACUGGGUAAAAUCUUAUUCCUAAAGCAGGAUAAUCUCAUUCAAGGUAUAGAGAGGGAAAUUGGAGCAUUACAAUUGGA